AUUGAACGCUGGCGGCAGGCCUAACACAUGCAAGUCGAGCGAGCGACGGACGGGUGAGUAAUGCCUGGGAAUUGCCCAGUCGAGGGGGAUAACAGUUGGAAACGACCGCUAAUACCGCAUACGAUUGGAUUGUCCAGGUGGGAUUAGCUAGUUGGUGAGGUAAUGGGUCACCAAAGCGACGAUCCCUAGCUGGUCUGAGAGGAUGGUCAGCCACAAUGGAAAUGAGACACGGUCCAGGCUCCUACGGGAGGCAGAAGUGGGAAAUAUUGCACAAUGGGGGAAACCCGGAUGCAGCAAUACCGCGUGUGUGAAGAAGGCCUUCGGGUUGUAAAGCACUUUCAGCGAGGAGGCGUUACUCGCAGAAGAAGCACCGGCAAACUCCGUGCCAGCAGCCGCGGUAAUAC
rnacentral:rRNA from 1 species